CGAUAACGAACGAGACCUUAACCUGCUAAAUAGCCAGGCUAGCUUUGGCUGGUCGCCGGCUUCUUAGAGGAACUAUCAGCUCAAGCCGAAGGAAGUUUGAGGCAAUAACAGGUCUGUGAUGCCCUUAGAUGUUCUGGGCCGCACGCGCGCUACACUGACAGAGCCAACGAGUUCUUCACCUUGACCGAAAGGUCUGGGUAAUCUUGUUAAACUCUGUCGUGCUGGGGAGUAGAGCAUUGCAAUG
rnacentral:rRNA from 1 species